CAGCAGCCGCGGGAAUACGUAGGUGGCAAGCGUUGUCCGGAAUUAUUGGGCGUAAAGGGCUCGCAGGCGGUUUCUUAAGUCUGAUGUGAAAGCCCCCGGCUCAACCGGGGAGGGUCAUUGGAAACUGGGAAACUUGAGUGCAGAAGAGGAGAGUGGAAUUCCACGUGUAGCGGUGAAAUGCGUAGAGAUGUGGAGGAACACCAGUGGCGAAGGCGACUCUCUGGUCUGUAACUAACGCUGAGGAGCGAAAGCGUGGGGAGCGAACAGGAUUAGAUACCCGCGUAGUCCCUGUCUCUUAUAC
rnacentral:rRNA from 1 species